rnacentral:rRNA from 1 species
UACAGAGGUCCCGAGCGUUGUUCGGAUUCAUUGGGCGUAAAGAGCUUGUAGGCGGUUUGUCGCGUCUGCUGUGAAAAUCCGGGGCUCAACCCCGGACUUGCAGUGGGUACGGGCAGACUAGAGUGUGGUAGGGGAGACUGGAAUUCCUGGUGUAGCGGUGAAAUGCGCAGAUAUCAGGAGGAACACCGAUGGCGAAGGCAGGUCUCUGGGCCACUACUGACGCUGAGAAGCGAAAGCAUGGGGAGCGAACAGG